GGGAUCCGGAGGUAAAAAUAUCAGAGAAAAGAGAAGGAUUCACCCCUAAAAAAAAAAUCCCAUUUUCUUAGGAUUUGGAGUAGAAAUCAGGAAUACACACCAGGGUCCCACGGGGUGGGAGAGGACACCUCGUUCCUGGUGGAUCUGAAGGAUCUGGAGCAGAAACUCAGGAAUAGAAACCAGGGUCCCACGGGGUGGGAGAGGACACCUCGUUUCUCAUGGCUCUGAAGAGGAGCGGGAGAGGACACCUCGCUGCUGGUGGAUCUGCACCCAGGAGCUCCAAACGCUGAGUUUUGGGAUUUCAGGCUCAGGAUCCCUGCCCCCUUCCCUUUUCCCAGCUGAUCCCAGGAUUUCCAGAGCCUCGCAGCCCCGAGAGCUGCGGGACGGCAGAACGCUCCAUGGAGGGAUUGAAUAAAGAAAUGAAAAAGAAAUAAAAAUAAAAUAAAUGUAUAAUAAA